rnacentral:rRNA from 1 species
UGGGGAAUAUUGCAGCAAUGGGCGAAAGCCUGAUGCAGCAACGCCGCGUGAGUGAUGAAGGCCUUCGGGUUGUAAAGCUCUGUCUUUUGGGACGAUAAUGACGGUACCAAAGGAGGAAGCCACGGCUAACUACGUGCCAGCAGCCGCGGUAAUACGUAGGUGGCAAGCGUUGUCCGGAUUUACUGGGCGUAAAGGAUGCGUAGGCGGAUUUUUAAGUGAGAUGUGAAAACCCUAAGCUUAACUUGGGGACUGCAUUUCAUACUGGAAAUCUAGAGUGCGGGAGAGGAGAAUGGAAUUCCUAGUGUAGCGGUGAAAAUGCGUAGAGAUUAGGAAGAACACCAGUGGCGAAGGCGAUUCUCUGGACCGUAACUGACGCUGAGGCAUGAAAAGCGUGGGUAGCAAACAGGAUUAGAUACCCUGGUAGUCCACGCCGUAAACGAUGAGUACUAGGUGUAGGAGGUAUCGACCCCUUCUGUGCCGCAGUUAAACACAAUAAGUACUCCGCCUGGGGAAGUACGAUCGCAAGAUUAAAAACUCAAAAUGAAUUGACGGGGGUCAUAGCUGUUUUUCCU